rnacentral:rRNA from 1 species
AAUCUUCCGCAAUGGGCGAAAGCCUGACGGAUCAAUGCCGCGCGAGUCAGCAAGGCCUACGGGUUGUAAAACUCUGUCUUCCGGGACGAUAAUCACGGUCCCUGAGGACGAAGCCACGGCCAACUACGUGCCAGCAGCCGCGGUAAUACGUCGGUGGCAAGCGUUGUCCGGAAUGACUGGGCGUAAAGGGCGUGUAGGUUGACUGAUCAGUCGGGUGUGAAAUAUCCGGGCUUAACCUGGAGGGUGCAUUCGAUACGGUCAGUCUUGAGUGCAGGAGAGGACAGUGGAAUUCCCAGUGUAGCGGUGAAAUGCGUAGAGAUUGGGAGGAACACCAGUGGCGAAGGCGGCUGUCUGGACUGUAACUGACACUGAGGCGCGAAAGCGUGGGGAGCAAACA